rnacentral:tRNA from 1 species
GGGACCGUAGGGUAGCCUGGACCAUCCUACCAGCUUGGGGUGUUGGUGACCCGAGUUCAAAUCUCGGCGGUCCCA